UACGUAGGUGGCAAGCGUUGUCCGGAUUUACUGGGUGUAAAGGGCGUGUAGGCGGGAAGGUAAGUCAGAUGUGAAAUUCCAGGGCUUCAACUCUGGCGCUGCAUCUGAAACUAUCUUUCUUGAGUGAUGGAGAGGAAAGUGGAAUUCCUAGUGUUAGCGGUGAAAUGCGUAGAUAAUUAGGAAGGAACACCAGUUGGCGAAGGCGACUUUCUG
rnacentral:rRNA from 1 species